UACGUAGGGGGCUAGCGUUGUCCGGAAUCAUUGGGCGUAAAGCGCGCGUAGGCGGCCCGGUAAGUCCGCUGUAAAAGUCAAAGGCUCAACCUUUGAAUGUCAGUGGAUACUGCCGGGCUUGAGUCCGGAAGAGGCGAGUGGAACUCCUGGUGUAGCGGUGAAAUGCGCAGAGAUGUGGAGGAAUACCGAUGGCGAAGGCAGCCUCCUGGGCCAACACUGACGCUCAUGCACGAAAGCGUGGGGAGCAAACAGG
rnacentral:rRNA from 1 species